UAAUAGAGAUAUAAGUAAAAAAUUAUGCAAAGGAACUCGGCAAAUAUUAAACCUCGCCUGUUUAACAAAAACAUCGCUAGAAGAAGUAACUUUUAGUAAUACCUGCCCAGUGCGAAAUAUUAAUGUAAACGGCCGCCCUAGCGUGAGGGUGCUAAGGUAGCGAAAUUCCUUGCCUUUUGAUUGUAGGCCUGCAUGAAUGGUUUAACGAGGGUUUAGCUGUCUCUAAAUUUUUAAUUGAAAUUGUAUUGAAGGUGAAGAUACCUUCAUUUAAAAGUUAGACAAAAAGACCCCGUGCAACUUUGAAAAUUAACUUUAUUCAGGGGUAAAAGAUUUUUAGGUGGGGCGCCUAGAAAGUAAGCCUAACCUUUCUGAGUAAGAGUUUCUUUCAGGAGUUGACCCGAUUAUAUUCGAUCAUAGGAGAAGUUACGCCGGGGAUAACAGGCUAAUCCUUUAGUAGAGCUCGUAUUGGCUAAAGGGAUUGGCACCUCGAUGUUGAAUCAGGGAUGAUAGCUUCAAGGCGUAGAGGCUUUGAGAGUAGGUCUGUUCGACCUUUAAUACCCUACGUGAUUUGAGUUCAGACCGGCGUAAGCCAGGUUGGUUUCUAUCUGCUUUAAAUAAAUUUAUCUCGGCAUGUACGAAGGGACCGUUGAGACUGGGAGUUAUCCUAGAAAAGAGAUUUUGGAAUAAGAAUUUAAUGUAUUAAUAAGCAAA
rnacentral:rRNA from 1 species